UUUUCUAAUGGUGAACCAAUCAGAUCAUAAUCUUCUUCAUCUUCUUCUUCAGUUCAACCAAAUUAGCCCUCUCCCUCUCUCACCUGUGUUCUCUCUCUCUUACUCGUGGGUUUCUCUCUCUCGUGGGCUCUCUCUCUCUCGCUCACCUAGGUUUUCCUUAUUUGGGCCUUUAUCAGUUUCUUUUAUAUUUUGCAAAGCCUUGGUGGGUUUUCAUCCUCCGCCGGAGCUACGAUUGGGUACUCCACCAGUAGGUUUUUCGUUCACCAUCUUGGUCCCCAGGUAUCGUUGGGGAUUUUGGCUAUUCCACUGACUUUACUGGUUUUUCUGGGUUUCAUUAUAUAUGAACACAGAACAACGAAUCGUUCUGAGGAAAACAAGGUAAAGGGAAAGAAAAGCUCACCCAACCUUAAGUGGAGAGCUUAGGUGGUGAUGUGUACAUAUGCGGUCGCUUGACCACCACGGUCAAUGCAUUCUCAGAGGAACUAGGGGGGUUACCCUAUUUUGCCGCUUAGGUCGGCGGGAUUGUAAAUUUGAAACGGUAAUGACUAUUUUGUAUUGAGAACAACUUGUAAAUGUUUUGAUUAGCUCUGCAGAGCAGUUUGUAAUGAAAA